GACGAACGCUGGCGGCGUGCUUAACACAUGCAAGUCGAACGAAGAGCGAUGGAAGCUUGCUUCUAUCAAUCUUAGUGGCGAACGGGUGAGUAACGCGUAAUCAACCUUCCCUUCAGAGGGGUACAACAGUUGGAAACGACUGCUAAUACCGCAUACGAUCUAAUCUCGGCAUCUAGGAUAGAUGAAAGGUGGCCUCUACAUGUAAGCUCUCACUGAAGGAGGGGAUUUCGUCUGAUUAGCUAGUUGGAGGGGUAACGGCCCACCAAGGCGAUGAUCAGUAGACGGUCUGAGAGGAUGAAAGGCCACAAUAGGACUGAGACACGGCCCAGAAUCCUACGGGAGACAGCAGUGGGGAAUCUUCCGCAAUGGACGAAAGUCUGACGGAGCAACGCAGCGUGAGGGAUGACGGACUUCGGGUUGUAAAGCUCUGUUAAUCGGGACGAAAGGCCUUCUUGCGAAUAGUGAGAAGGAUUGACGGUACCGGAAUAGAAAGCCACGGCUAACUACGUG
rnacentral:rRNA from 1 species